AUGGCCAUAUCAUAUUGAAAUAUCAGUUCUCAUACGAUCACUGAAGUUAAGCAAUGUCUAGCUUGGCCAGUACCUAGAUAGGUAACCACUUGGAAAUACCAAGUACUGUAA